CACCCCUCUUCUUCCAUAACACCCCUUCUCCUUCCUUGGGGAGGAAACAAGGAGAAAUUUAGAAUCUCAGUAGGGACCUAAAACUAAGGAAAAGGAUAGAGAAAAUGGCCAAGAGAGCAAGAAUGAGAUAGGACAUCUACAUUCUCUCACCUCUUCUCCAUUUUCUUUCUCUUAACUUUUGUCUUCUUCUUCUUCUCACUCUCUCUCUCUCUGUGGUUAUUCUUGUUUUAUAUUUUGUAGCUAUAUUUUCUAUUUUUUUAGACUUUAGGUUUUAAAUUAGCUCUAGGAAUUUCAAUUGGAGGGGCAUGACGGGUGCCUCGUGGUCUUUCCUAAUACUAAUAUAGAUUCUUACUCUGGCAUUGUCAUCUUCUCCUUAAGUUUUCUACUGUCCUAACUGUUGAAAAAUUCUAGGCGGUGACUCCAUAAACAUUAUGAAUAGUAUUCUACUCCACCAUGUAGAAAGACCCUAUAGGGGUCAAGAUGCAAUGCGAGAACAAGAAAGAGAGGGUGGGAGAGGCUGAAUUAGUAAUAAGAGAAUAGAAACAUGCGGACCAAAUUAACACGAGGUCACGAGGAAGCCUGUCUCAAUAACCUGAAAACCUUGUCCAAGCC
rnacentral:lncRNA from 1 species